CGGGCCCGCGGCGCAUUAGCUAGUUGGUGAGGUAAAGGCUCACCAAGGCAACGAUGCGUAGCCGACCUGAGAGGGUGAUCGGCCACACUGGGACUGAGACACGGCCCAGACUCCUACGGGAGGCAGCAGUAGGGAAUCUUCCGCAAUGGACGAAAGUCUGACGGAGCAACGCCGCGUGAGUGAAGAAGGUUUUCGGAUCGUAAAACUCUGUUGUUAGGGAAGAACAAGUCAGGUAGUAACUGACCUGACCUUGACGGUACCUAACCAGAAAGCCACGGCUAACUACGUGCCAGCAGCCGCGGUAAUACGUAGGUGGCAAGCGUUGUCCGGAUUUAUUGGGCGUAAAGCGCUCGCAGGCGGUCUUUUAAGUCUGAUGUGAAAGCCCACGGCUUAACCGUGGAGGGUCAUUGGAACUGGAGGACUUGAGUGCAGAAGAGGAGAGUGGAAUUCCAUGUGUAGCGGUGAAAUGCGUAGAGAUAUGGAGGAACACCAGUGGCGAAGGCGACUCUCUGGUCUGUAACUGACGCUGAGGAGCGAAAGCGUGGGUAGCGAACAGGAUUAGAUACCCUGGUAGUCCACGCCGUAAACGAUGAGUGCUAGGUGUUAGGGGGUUUCCGCCCCUUAGUGCUGAAGUUAACGCAUUAAGCACUCCGCCUGGGGAGUACGGCCGCAAGGCUGAAACUCAAAAGAAUUGACGGGGACCCGCACAAGCGGUGAGCAUGUGGUUUAAUUCGAAGCAACGCGAAGAACCUUACCAGGUCUUGACAUCCUUUCGACCUCCCUAGAGAUAGGGAUUUCCCUUCGGGGACGAAAGUGACAGGUGGUGCAUGGUUGUCGUCAGCUCGUGUCGUGAGAUGUUGGGUUAAGUCCCGCAACGAGCGCAACCCUUGAUCUUAGUUGCCAGCAUUAAGUUGGGCACUCUAAGGUGACUGCCGGUGACAAACCGGAGGAAGGUGGGGAUGAUG
rnacentral:rRNA from 1 species